CCUACGGGAGGCAGCAGUGAGGAAUCUUGGUCAAUGGACGAGAGUCUGAACCAGCCAAGUAGCGUGAAGGAUGACUGCCCUAUGGGUUGUAAACUUCUUUUAUAUGGGAAUAAAAUGUUCCACGUGUGGGAUUUUGUAUGUACCAUAUGAAUAAGGAUCGGCUAACUCCGUGCCAGCAGCCGCGGUAAUACGGAGGAUCCGAGCGUUAUCCGGAUUUAUUGGGUUUAAAGGUAGCGUAGGUGGAUUGUUAAGUCAGUUGUGAAAGUUUGGGGCUCAACCGUAAAAUUGCAGUUGAAACUGGCAGUCUUGAGUACAGUAGAGGUGAGCGGAAUUCGUGGUGUAGCGGUGAAAUGCUUAGAUAUCACGAAGAACUCCGAUUGCGAAGGCAGCUCACUGGACUGCAACUGACACUGAGGCUCGAAAGUGUGGGUAUCGAACGGGAUUAGAUACCCGGGUAGUC
rnacentral:rRNA from 1 species